rnacentral:rRNA from 1 species
ACACAUGCAAGUCGCACGGUCGGGCUUCGGCUUGGCAGUGGCGGACGGGUGAGUAACGCGUAGGUAUCUAUCCUUGGGUGGGGGAUAACCGUGGGAAACUACGGCUAAUACCGCAUGACACCUGUGGGUCAAAGGCGCAAGUCGCCUGAGGAGGAGCCUGCGUCCGAUUAGCUAGUUGGUGGGGUAAGGGCCUACCAAGGCGACGAUCGGUAGCUGGUCUGAGAGGAUGAUCAGCCACACUGGGACUGAGACACGGCCCAGACUCCUACGGGAGGCAGCAGUGGGGAAUAUUGGACAAUGGGCGCAAGCCUGAUCCAGCAAUGCCGCGUGGGUGAAGAAGGUUUUCGGAUUGUAAAGCCCUUUCGGCGGGGACGAUGAUGACGGUACCCGCAGAAGAAGCCCCGGCUAACUUCGUGCCAGCAGCCGCGGUAAUACGAAGGGGGCUAGCGUUGCUCGGAAUGACUGGGCGUAAAGGGCGCGUAGGCGGCUCAUACAGUCAGAUGUGAAAUUCCUGGGCUUAACCUGGGCGCUGCAUUUGAUACGUGUGGGCUUGAGUGGGGAAGAGGGUCGUGGAAUUCCCAGUGUAGAGGUGAAAUUCGUAGAUAUUGGGAAGAACACCGGUGGCGAAGGCGGCGACCUGGUCCUUGACUGACGCUGAGGCGCGAAAGCGUGGGGAGCAAACAGGAUUAGAUACCCUGGUAGUCCACGCCGUAAACGAUGUGCGCUGGAUGUUGGGCGGCUUAGCCGUUCAGUGUCGGAGUUAACGCGUUAAGCGCACCGCCUGGGGAGUACGGCCGCAAGGUUGAA